rnacentral:misc_RNA from 1 species
UAACAAGGAGAGAAGUACGGCUCUAUUAUCCUUGCCUCAGAACAGAUUAUCCUAUUAUCAUCAGUAAGAUCAUAUGUUCAAUUUUGGUUUAGAUUGUCAUGAAACUACUAUAUUUUAUAAUUAAGUUAAUCAAAGAUAUGGAUCCAUCUGUCUCAUGCUUAUUAGGAGAAUGUUAUAGAUGCACCCCAACUCAUUUGCUGCAUGCCAGAUAUAUUAUGUAUAUUUGGGCCAGUUUCAUUAGUCAUCACUUCCCAAAACUCCUAAAAUUCAUAGGAUCUUUUUGAAAAGAAACUGCUUGUAGCCAAAAUUUUACCUUACCAGUUGAAAUUUUGUUGAAAAAAUUUUUAUUUCAAAUUUAAAAAUAACUUUGUUCAACAGUAAUUUCACCUAAAAAAAAAAAUCAAAGAAGA